ACAGUGCAUGCCGCAGCGACUUAACAAACCUUUACAACGAUGUGAUAUCCCCCACAACAUCCGGCAUCAACAAUCUGUGUCCGUUUCAGGGACAGCUGAACGCCAGAUACCGCUUCAGUGUCGCCGAGGCCAUCUUUGUUGGUGUUCCCGCUCUCUUUGAUCAUAAGGUGGAACUGACGCUUAAAGUGGAAAAUUACGAUGGACAGAACACAGGUCUUGAACUUUGCGCCGGCAAUAUCAACCUACAGAAGACAGUGUUGUUUGGGCUGGUAGCCGGAGAAUGUAGCUUCACUGUGCAGGACAGUUCCCCAGGCGUUAAUCUCACACGGUUCGGACAACCCUGUAGUGUCGGGUACCAGCUGAGAGACGUCGGAGGAAGCAAGAAGUGUCUACCUUGUCCCCACGGAUACUCGUCGUCCCCAGUGGAGGUUGUGUUGAGUGCCCUGACGGUCAGUAUCAGGACCAGCCCGGACAACUCUCCUGUAAGA